GAGUUGAGUGGUGCGCAUAAAGCAAACUAUUCUUCUGCCUUUUAUUAAAGAAUACCGCGUGCUUGCCACAUCAAGCAGCAUACUGCUAUUUUUGAUGGGAUCCCUCCUAGUGAGGAGGC